rnacentral:rRNA from 1 species
UACGAAGGGGGCGAGCGUUGUUCGGAUUUACUGGGCGUAAAGGGCGCGCAGGCGGUUCUGUUUGUCGAGUGUGAAAGCCCCGGGCUCAACCUGGGAACUGCGCUCGAAACGGCGGAACUAGAGUUCGGGAGAGGAGAGUGGAAUUCCCAGUGUAGAGGUGAAAUUCGUAGAUAUUGGGAAGAACACCAGUGGCGAAGGCGGCUCACUGGACUGGUAUUGACGCUGAGGUGCGAAAGCGUGGGGAGCAAACAGG